rnacentral:rRNA from 1 species
AGAGAGAGACAUGCGCGCAUAUCAAUAAGCGGAGGAAAAGAAACUAACAAGGAUUCCCUUAGUAACGGCGAGUGAAGCGGGAAGAGCUCAAAUUUGAAAUCUUCAAGGUUUUACCUUGACGAAUUGUAGUUUAAAGAAGUGUUUUCUGCUGAAGUUUUGGUAAAAGUUCCUUUGGAAUAGGACAUCAUAGAGGGUGAGAAUCCCGUAUUUGACCAUUAUUUUCAGCUUUGUGAUACACUCUCAAAGAGUCGGAUUGUUUGGGAAUGCAGUCCAAAAUGGGUGGUAAAUUUCAUCUAAAGCUAAAUAUUGGCGAGAGACCGAUAGCGAACAAGUACCGUGAGGGAAAGAUGAAAAGAACUUUGAAAAGAGAGUUAAACAGUACGUGAAAUUGUCAAAAGGGAAGCGUUUGACACCAGUGUUGUUUUCUCGAAAAUCAAUUAAAAAUGGCUCGAUUUUGUAUUGUUGAGACCUUAAAAGCUCACUGUACACUUUCUCGUGUCUUUUUUAAUGCACUUUUCGUUUAACAAGUCAACAUCAGUUUCUUUUGUUGUAAAAGGGUCAUUGGAAGGUGGCUUUCUUUUCGGAGAAAGUGUUUAUAGCCUUUGGCCUCUGCAAUCGAAGAGACUGAGGUCUGCAGCGUAGACUCUUCGGGGUUAGAUACAUUUGUGCUAAGUUAUAGCCUUUUCAUAGACAACUUGUUGACUAUGAUCAGUCAUGUAGCUUACUCGCUUAUGCUAUUUUACCUACGCUUAGGAUGUUGAAGAUGUAGCACAUCAU